AGUGAACGCUGGCGGCGUGCUUAACACAUGCAAGUCGAACGAGAACGGGUUAUAGCUUGCUAUAACUGUCAGCUAAGUGGCGCACGGGUGAGUAAUGUAUAGGUAAUAUGCCUCUUACUAAGGGAUAACAAAUGGAAACGUUUGCUAAUACCUUAUACUCCUUAUUAACAUAAGUUAAUAAGGGAAAGAUUUAUUGGUAAGAGAUUAGCCUGUAUUGUAUCAGUUAGUUGGUGGGGUAAUGGCUUACCAAGACUAUGACACAUAACUGGUUUGAGAGGAUGAUCAGUCACACUGGAACUGAAACACGGUCCAGACUCCUACGGGAGGCAGCAGUGGGGAAUAUUGCACAAUGGACGAAAGUCUGAUGCAGCAACGCCGCGUGGAGGAUGACACAUUUCGGUGCGUAAACUCCUUUUAUAUGAGAAGAUAAUGACGGUAUUAUAUGAAUAAGCACCGGCUAACUCCGUGCCAGCAGCCGCAGUAA
rnacentral:rRNA from 1 species